UCCGCCUUGGUGCAGCCUGGCUGGCUGGCUGGAGAGAGAGGGGGGGCUGCCUGGGUGUGGGUCAAGCAAAGGAGGAGGGGGCCCCGAGAUGGAGCAGGAGGGCCCCAAGACGCUGGGCGACCUCCUGGGGACCCUCUACGAGAUGGGCUUCAGCGAGGUUCAGGUCCAGGACGCCCUCCGCGCAGGGUGCCUCAGCGCCCCCGAGGCCGCCGA